UAAACGGCUCUUUUGAGAGCCACACACAGCUUAUCAUUGCGCAAA
rfam:Gasterosteus aculeatus cont1.006015, whole genome shotgun sequence.